rnacentral:rRNA from 1 species
GGUUAAGCGACUAAGCGUACACGGUGGAUGCCCUGGCAGUCAGAGGCGAUGAAGGACGUGCUAAUCUGCGAUAAGCGUCGGUAAGGUGAUAUGAACCGUUAUAACCGGCGAUUUCCGAAUGGGGAAACCCAGUGUGUUUCGACACACUAUCAUUAACUGAAUCCAUAGGUUAAUGAGGCGAACCGGGGGAACUGAAACAUCUAAGUACCCCGAGGAAAAGAAAUCAACCGAGAUUCCCCCAGUAGCGGCGAGCGAACGGGGAGCAGCCCAGAGCCUGAAUCAGUAUGUGUGUUAGUGGAAGCGUCUGGAAAGGCGCGCGAUACAGGGUGACAGCCCCGUACACAAAAAUGCACAUGCUGUGAGCUCGAUGAGUAGGGCGGGACACGUGGUAUCCUGUCUGAAUAUGGGGGGACCAUCCUCCAAGGCUAAAUACUCCUGACUGACCGAUAGUGAACCAGUACCGUGAGGGAAAGGCGAAAAGAACCCCGGCGAGGGGAGUGAAAAAGAACCUGAAACCGUGUACGUACAAGCAGUGGGAGCACGCUUAGGCGUGUGACUGCGUACCUUUUGUAUAAUGGGUCAGCGACUUAUAUUCUGUAGCAAGGUUAACCGAAUAGGGGAGCCGAAGGGAAACCGAGUCUUAACUGGGCGUUAAGUUGCAGGGUAUAGACCCGAAACCCGGUGAUCUAGCCAUGGGCAGGUUGAAGGUUGGGUAACACUAACUGGAGGACCGAACCGACUAAUGUUGAAAAAUUAGCGGAUGACUUGUGGCUGGGGGUGAAAGGCCAAUCAAACCGGGAGAUAGCUGGUUCUCCCCGAAAGCUAUUUAGGUAGCGCCUCGUGAAUUCAUCUCCGGGGGUAGAGCACUGUUUCGGCAAG